AUGUAACAUUCUUUCUCCGGUCUCUGUGAGUGAAAAGGGAAUCCAGUGCAAAUCUGGAGCUGACGCGCAGCGGUAAAGACUGGCGGGAUGAUCGCGAUAGACACUGCGGCAACGUGGGAAGUCUUCAUCCAUAACACGCCACCCAGCCCGAAGACCUGCCGGAGUACGUCGCAAGGGA
rnacentral:ncRNA from 13 species